rnacentral:rRNA from 1 species
GACGAAGGUGGCUAGCGUUGCUCGGAAUUACUGGGCAUAAAGCGCGCGUAGGUGGUCUUGUAAGCGAGAGAUGAAAGCCCAUGGCUCACCCAUGGAACUGUCCCUCGGACUGCAAGGCUUGAGGACGGUAGGGGAGAGUGGAAUUCCCGGUGUAGCGGUGAAAUGCGUAGAUAUCGGGAGGAACGCCGGUGGCGAAAGCGACUCUCUGGCCCGCUCCUGACACUGAGGCGCGAAAGCUAGGGGAGCAAACAGG